rnacentral:rRNA from 1 species
UACGUAGGGGGCGAGCGUUAUCCGGAUUCACUGGGUGUAAAGGGAGCGUAGACGGCCAAGCAAGCCAGGGGUGAAAGCCCGGGGCCCAACCCCGGGACUGCCCUUGGAACUGCAUGGCUGGAGUGCGGGAGGGGCAGGCGGAAUUCCUGGUGUAGCGGUGAAAUGCGUAGAUAUCAGGAGGAACACCGGCGGCAAAGGCGGCCUGCUGGACCGCGACUGACGUUGAGGCUCGAAAGCGUGGGGAGCGAACAGG